UGAGGAAUAUUGGACAAUGGAGGCAACUCUGAUCCAGCCAUGCCGCGUGUAGGAAGACUGCCCUAUGGGUUGUAAACUACUUUUAUAGAGGAAGAAACCGUUCCACGUGUGGAAUGCUGACGGUACUCUACGAAUAAGGAUCGGCUAACUCCGUGCCAGCAGCCGCGGUAAUACGGAGGAUCCAAGCGUUAUCCGGAAUCAUUGGGUUUAAAGGGUCCGUAGGCGGUUUAGUAAGUCAGUGGUGAAAGUUUUCGGCUCAACCGGAAAAUUGCCAUUGAUACUGCAAGACUUGAAUUAUUGUGAAGUGGUUAGAAUGUGUAGUGUAGCGGUGAAAUGCAUAGAUAUUACAC
rnacentral:rRNA from 1 species